rnacentral:rRNA from 1 species
UGUCCAGACUCCUACGGGAGGCAGCAGUGGGGAAUAUUGCACAAUGGGGGAAACCCUGAUGCAGCGACGCCGCGUGGGUGACGAAGUAUUUCGGUAUGUAAAGCCCUAUCAGCAGGGAAGAAGAUGACAGUACCUGACUAAGAGGCCCCGGCUAACUACGUGCCAGCAGCCGCGGUAAUACGUAGGGGGCAAGCGUUAUCCGGAUUCACUGGGUGUAAAGGGAGCGUAGACGGCGACGCAAGUCUGGAGUGAAAGCCCGGGGCCCAACCCCGGGACUGCUCUGGAAACUGCGUCGCUGGAGUACGGGAGGGGCAGGCGGAAUUCCUGGUGUAGCGGUGAAAUGCGUAGAUAUCAGGAGGAACACCGGCGGCGAAGGCGGCCUGCUGGACCGUGACUGACGUUGAGGCUCGAGAGCGUGGGGAGCAAACAGGAUUAGAUACCCCUGUAGG